UGCAUCCUACGGGGCGCAGCAGUGGGGAAUAUUGCACAAUGGGGGAAACCCUGAUGCAGCAACGCCGCGUGAGUGAAGAAGUAUUUCGGUAUGUAAAGCUCUAUCAGCAGGGAAGAAAAUGACGGUACCUGAGUAAGAAGCCCCGGCUAACUACGUGCCAGCAGCCGCGGUAAUACGUAGGGGGCAAGCGUUAUCCGGAUUUACUGGGUGUAAAGGGAGCGUAGACGGCGAUGCAAGUCUGAAGUGAAAGCCCGGGGCUCAACCCCGGGACUGCUUCGGAAACUGUAUGGCUG
rnacentral:rRNA from 1 species